rnacentral:lncRNA from 1 species
AGGAUCUCUGUUUAUUAUGCCAAACCUGACAAAGCAAGUCAAGAAAGACAGGCUCCUAGACCUGUGUCUCCCAAUGAUGAGCAUAGUGUCUAUAUAGCUCGUAAAUCCCCGACAGAAAUUGAAGGAGCUCAUGUGAUUCAGGAAGACAGAGAUGUUAAAGUGGAAAUACCUAUUGAUCAGGUUCCAGCUGAGAUCAUCCAGGAUGAGGAGAUUUAUGCAGAUCCUGGGAAUCUAAAAGAGCAGGCUCCAGCUGAGAUUGUUCAGGAUGAGACAAUUGAUGCUAAGAAUAUAGAGGAACAG